rnacentral:rRNA from 1 species
AUUGAACGCUGGCGGCAUGCCUUACACAUGCAAGUCGAACGGUAACGGGCCUUAGGGUGCCGACGAGUGGCGAACGGGUGAGUAAUACAUCGGAACGUGCCCGAUCGUGGGGGAUAACGAGGCGAAAGCUUUGCUAAUACCGCAUACGAUCUACGGAUGAAAGCAGGGGACCGCAAGGCCUUGCGCGGACGGAGCGGCCGAUGGCAGAUUAGGUAGUUGGUGGGAUAAAAGCUUACCAAGCCGACGAUCUGUAGCUGGUCUGAGAGGAUGAUCAGCCACACUGGGACUGAGACACGGCCCAGACUCCUACGGGAGGCAGCAGUGGGGAAUUUUGGACAAUGGGCGCAAGCCUGAUCCAGCCAUGCCGCGUGCAGGAUGAAGGACUUCGGGUUGUAAACUGCUUUUGUACGGAACGAAAAGCCUUCUUUUAAUACAGGAGGGUCAUGACGGUACCGUAAGAAUAAGCACCGGCUAACUACGUG